GAAUGAAGGAAGCAUGGUACUGUGCACGGAAACUAAACUAUAGAUCGACAUGUCUGCCAUCUCUGAUUUUUCGUGAUGAGACGGCCUGGUUUAGAUCUACAUUC
rnacentral:snoRNA from 3 species